GAUGAAGAACGUAGCGAAGUGCGAUAAGUAACGUGAAUUGCAGAAUUCCGUGAAUCAUCGAAUCUUUGAACGCAAAUUGCGCUCCCUGGCAUCCCGGGGAGUAUGCCUGUUUGAGGGUCAGUGUUAAUAAAAAUCGGUUCGUUGCGAAUUUUUUGUGACGUUCCGGAGUUUGGGUUAUCUUAACUUUUUCGGUUAAGAGGCUUAAAAUUGACCUUUUUUUGUGCAUUUUAGACGUACAUAAAUUUUCUUUUAUUUGUCUAUUAAUGCCAAAAUAUAUUAGAUGCGACCAUAUCGUGUGGUUCCGUGUCUAUAAAUUUUUCAUGAUUUGACCUCAAAUCAGGUAGGAGUACCCGCUGAACUUAAGCAUAUCAAUAAGCGGAGGA
rnacentral:misc_RNA from 1 species